CGGCGGACGGGUGAGUAACACGUGGAUAACCUACCUAUAAGACUGGGAUAACUUCGGGAAACCGGAGCUAAUACCGGAUAAUAUAUUGAACCGCAUGGUUCAAUAGUGAAAGACGGUUUUGCUGUCACUUAUAGAUGGAUCCGCGCCUCAUUAGCUAGUUGGUAAGGUAACGGCUUACCAAGGCGACGAUGCGUAGCCGACCUGAGAGGGUGAUCGGCCACACUGGAACUGAGACACGGUCCAG
rnacentral:rRNA from 1 species